AGGUAAGGGCGCGUGCGCGUGUGCUGUGUGCGUUCAUGUGGUGGACACAGGAUCCGGAACCCACCACUGCUUGGAUUGCACUGAUUGAAGUCCAUCCUCAGUCAUGUAGACUCACCAGGUGGAUUUAUAUACAAUGUCAGCCAAACAUGCCUCAUUGAGUUAUGGGAACAAAAUCCCCAUAUUUCCAGCCUUGAGUUUCCUGAGAAAAUAUGGGAAUCUAAUCUAAUAAAUAACAAUACAAAAUCUCAGGAUAUGGAUUUGGCAAAUUUAUUGGAUGCCUGAAUGGAUCGAACUCAACAGUAUGAGUCGGACUUAAAAUGGGAGCAAAUUUACUGGCUAGUUGGCUGGACUCAUCUCUCAGUAAUAUUUUCCACACAACAUCUUAGCAGAUAGUAUCAUGCCAGCCGGAUCUUGUUGUCUUGUUGUGAAAGAGGAUUUUGUUUUCUAAUAUGGUAUAGUUUAUGCUUUAGAAGAGCCUAAUGCUGGGAACAAUUGAGAGCAAUAGAAGAAGGGGAUGACAGAGAACGAGGUGGCUGGAUGGAGUUACUGAAGCAGGAGGCUUGAGAUUGAAUAGACUCUGUGGCAUGGUAGAAGAUAGAAAGGCCUGGAGGAAUGCUGUCCAUGGGGCUGCGAUGGGUCGGACAUGACUUCGCGAUUAACAACAUCCACCUAGUUUAUGCCUCCUCUUCUUCACCCAUUUUGAACCCACAUUUAGAAAUUCUGGAUGGAUAGUUGGAUUGGUUUCCUCCCUGUCCUCUAAGCCUAGAUGUCUUUUACAUCUAAAAUUUCUGCAUAGGUUAAAAUAGUUGUUUUGGUUCUGUCUUAUAGACACCGAAUGAUAAUGCAGCCCCUACAGCCCCUCAAACUACAUCAGGACCUUCUACAUCAGCAGCUGCAGAGAACCAGAAUGGCAAUGGGUUGAUCCCCUCUGGUGGUGCUUUGCACCAACCCAGCAUCUCAACCCAUCCAACCACCAGUCGCAUUACUAGGAGUCAACCCAACCAUCAAGGUGGAAGCUCAUCAAGCAUAGGGUCCUCCUCAAACCCAGUCAGCAAUGGCAAAGAGACACGGAGAAGUAGCAAAAGAUAGCAGGGGCUGUAGGUUCAGGAAAGUUUUGGAUACCUCUUUCCUCCACUGCCUGCAAUACUACUUUGUGCCUCCUUCUGAGGCAAAACAGCUGCUGCUGAGGAGAAAUGGAUACACUAGGCUGGAAUAGAGACUAUGGG